rnacentral:rRNA from 1 species
UACGAAGGGUGCAAACGUUGCUCGGAAUCAUUGGGCGUAAAGCGCACGUAGGCGGCUUCGCAAGUCGGAUGUGAAAUACCUAGGCUCAACCAAGGACGUGCAUCCGAAACUGCGAGGCUUGAGUACAGAAGAGGAUCGCGGAAUUCCCGGUGUAGAGGUGAAAUUCGUAGAUAUCGGGAGGAACACCAGUGGCGAAGGCGGCGAUCUGGGCUGUUACUGACGCUGAGGUGCGAAAGCGUGGGGAGCAAACAGG